GUUUUUAAAGUGACAUAACUGUGACAAAACUUGCUUACUGUCAAAAUUUAAAAUUAUUAAUAUAUUUUAAUAAAAUUUAAUAGCGAAUAAAUAAGACCAUGGGUAAAGGAUAAUAUUAAAGCUGGAAUAUUAAUAAAAAAUAUUUGAAAAUUAACGAUAAUAUAUUGAUGUUAGCUGCUGCGAUGAAUAUAUGCGCGUAAUAGUCAUAAAAUGAAGAUAUUUUGGGAAAAAGUUUAAGAAAUAUGGAAAACAUAAAUGUUAUCUUCAAGAACUCUAGCCCGUUUCUUUACUUUGUUACGGGACUUCUUCUUCUCUUUGUUUACCUAAGAGGGAUGAACUGGAGCGGUAUUAUUUGUCCAGAAGAAGUUGAUUUGGGAUCUGUGAGAGUCUUGAAAAGAACAUGUCGCAAUAAACGUAAUGAUACGAGUCAUUAAAAUUUAAUUUUUAAAAAGAA